GUGCAGCAGUCGCGAAAACUUCACACUGUGCGAAAGCACGAUGAGGGAAUCCCAAGUGCUUGCACGUAAGUGUAAGCUGUUUCUCUGUUUAAAACGCAGAGAGAGUAAGGGCUGGGUAAGACGGGUGCCAGCCGCCGCGGUAAUACCUGCAGCUCAAGUGGUGACCGUUAUUAUUGGGCCUAAAACGUCCGUAGCCGGUUUAAUAAAUGCCUGGGUAAAUCGUGUAGCUUAACUAUACGAAUUCCGGGUAGACUGUUAAACUCGAGACCGGGAGAAGUUAGAGGUACUCCUGGGGUAGAGGUGAAAUUCUGUAAUCCUAGGGGGACCACCAGUGGCGAAGGCGUCUAACUAGAACGGGUCUGACGGUGAGGGACGAAGCCCUGGGGCGCAAACGGGAUUAGAUACCCCUGUAGU
rnacentral:rRNA from 1 species